UACGAAGGGGGCUAGCGUUGCUCGGAAUCACUGGGCGUAAAGCGCACGUAGGCGGAUCUUUAAGUCAGGGGUGAAAUCCCGGAGCUCAACUCCGGAACUGCCUUUGAUACUGGAGAUCUUGAGUCCGGGAGAGGUGAGUGGAACUGCGAGUGUAGAGGUGAAAUUCGUAGAUAUUCGCAAGAACACCAGUGGCGAAGGCGGCUCACUGGACCACAACUGACGCUGAGGCACGAAAGCUAGGGGAGCAAACAGG
rnacentral:rRNA from 1 species